CCUGGCUCAGAUUGAACGCUGGCGGAAUGCUUUACACAUGCAAGUCGAACGGCAGCACGGGAGCUUGCUCCUGGUGGCGAGUGGCGAACGGGUGAGUAAUAUAUCGGAACGUAUCCAAUAAUGGGGGAUAACUAGUCGAAAGAUUAGCUAAUACCGCAUACGCCCUGAGGGGGAAAGCUGGGGAUCUUCGGACCUAGCGUUAAUGGAGCGGCCGAUAUCUGAUUAGCUAGUAGGUGAGGUAAGAGCUCACCUAGGCGACGAUCAGUAGCUGGUCUGAGAGGACGACCAGCCACACUGGAACUGAGACACGGUCCAGACUCCUACGGGAGGCAGCAGUGGGGAAUUUUGGACAAUGGGCGCAAGCCUGAUCCAGCCAUUCCGCGUGAGUGAAGAAGGCCUUCGGGUUGUAAAGCUCUUUCGCAAGGGAAGAAAACUUAACCUCUAACAUAGGUUGAGGCUGACGGUACCUUGAUAAGAAGCACCGGCUAACUACGUGCCAGCAGCCGCGGUAAUACGUAGGGUGCGAGCGUUAAUCGGAAUUACUGGGCGUAAAGCGUGCGCAGGCGGCCUGAUAAGUCAGAUGUGAAAUCCCCGA
rnacentral:rRNA from 1 species